UAAAUCCAUGCCAUGUUGCAGAGAGUUCUC
rnacentral:piRNA from 2 species